CUAACAAGGAUUCCCUCAGUAACGGCGAGUGAAGCGGGAAAGGCUCAAAUUUGAAAUCUCCGGUGCUUGCACCGGCGAGUUGUAUUUGCGAGAAGCACCUUCUAGGUGGACCGGCCUGGCCUAAGUUGCUUGGAACAGCAUGUCGCAGAGGGUGACAACCCCGUCCGUGGCAGGGCCGGCCGCCGACGAUGUGCUUUCGAAGAGUCGGGUUGCUUGGGAAUGCAGCCCAAAAUGGGUGGUAAACUCCAUCUAAAGCUAAAUAUUGGCGUGAGACCGAUAGCGAAGGAAACGAAUGGGCUCAGCAAUGCGCCUUCUUGAGAUUCAGCCGGCGGGCGCGGCCGUCGCCGGGUUCUGCGGAUCCGAACGGACCGCGGCUCGGUGCUCGGUCGUCCCGGCCGUCGCACUUCUCUUGGGCGCGCGUCAACGUCGGUUGGGACUGAGUGUGAAAGGUGUCGGGAAGGUAGGGUCGGACCUCCGGUCCGGUCUGUUAGAGCCCGGCUCUGUCUCGGCUCGGGCCCGACCGAGGAGUGGCAGCGCAUGCCUCCUGUGGCUAGAGUGCCCUCCUUCCGGCCGGUCGUCGACCGCGGUGGACUGCUUGCCAGUGCUCCGCAACCGCGGCCGGUCGUUGGGGCGGUGAUCU
rnacentral:rRNA from 1 species